GGACAUCUCUCUUUCAAGGAGGC
rnacentral:siRNA from 1 species